AUAUAUAGACUCGAAUAGCACCAAUGAGUUGGUGCUAUUAAAUUUUUUGUCAUUGGAUUAAAAAAUGUGUGAUUAGGAUGAUGUGGGUUCUUAGGGUUGAGUGGGUGGUUGGUUGAAUAGUAUAAUUGAACUGAUGAAAAUGAUAAAAAAAGAUAAAUCUAACGACAAAAAACAUAAUAGCACCAAAUACUUGGUGUCAUCGAUAGCAUUUCAACCGGACUCUAUAUAUAUAUCUAUGUGUGCGCGUGCGCGCGUAAGUGUAAAUUUUACACCCUUUUUAUCAUAGAAUUUGUAAAAAUU
rnacentral:lncRNA from 1 species